rnacentral:rRNA from 1 species
CCUACGGGAGGCAGCAGUGGGGAAUAUUGCACAAUGGGGGAAACCCUGAUGCAGCGACGCCGCGUGAGUGAAGAAGUAUUUCGGUAUGUAAAGCUCUAUCAGCAGGGAAGAAAAUGACGGUACCUGAGUAAGAAGCCCCGGUUAACUACGUGCCAGCAGCCGCGGUAAUACGUAGGGGGCAAGCGUUAUCCGGAUUUACUGGGUGUAAAGGGAGCGUAGACGGCAGCGCAAGUCUGAAGUGAAAUGCCGGGGCUUAACCCCGGAGCUGCUGUGGAAACUGUGCAGCUAGAGUGCAGGAGAGGUAAGUGGAAUUCCUAGUGUAGCGGUGAAAUGCGUAGAUAUUAGGAGGAACACCAGUGGCGAAGGCGGCUUACUGGACUGUAACUGACGUUGAGGCUCGAAAGCGUGGGGAGCAAACAGGAUUAGAUACCCCGGUAGUC